rnacentral:rRNA from 1 species
GAACGCUGGCGGCGUGCCUAAUACAUGCAAGUCGAGCGGACAGAAGGGAGCUUGCUCCCGGAUGUUAGCGGCGGACGGGUGAGUAACACGUGGGUAACCUGCCUGUAAGACUGGGAUAACUCCGGGAAACCGGAGCUAAUACCGGAUAGUUCCUUGAACCGCAUGGUUCAAGGAUGAAAGACGGUUUCGGCUGUCACUUACAGAUGGACCCGCGGCGCAUUAGCUAGUUGGUGGGGUAAUGGCUCACCAAGGCGACGAUGCGUAGCCGACCUGAGAGGGUGAUCGGCCACACUGGGACUGAGACACGGCCCAGACUCCUACGGGAGGCAGCAGUAGGGAAUCUUCCGCAAUGGACGAAAGUCUGACGGAGCAACGCCGCGUGAGUGAUGAAGGUUUUCGGAUCGUAAAGCUCUGUUGUUAGGGAAGAACAAGUGCGAGAGUAACUGCUCGCACCUUGACGGUACCUAACCAGAAAGCCACGGCUAACUACGUGCCAGCAGCCGCGGUAAUACGUAGGUGGCAAGCGUUGUCCGGAAUUAUUGGGCGUAAAGGGCUCGCAGGCGGUUUCUUAAGUCUGAUGUGAAAGCCCCCGGCUCAACC